rnacentral:rRNA from 1 species
AUUGAACGCUGGCGGCAUGCCUUACACAUGCAAGUCGAACGGUAACAGGUCUUCGGAUGCUGACGAGGUGGCGAACGGGUGAGUAAUACAUCGGAACGUGCCCGAUCGUGGGGGAUAACGGAGCGAAAGCUUUGCUAAUACCGCAUACGAUCUACGGAUGAAAGCAGGGGACCGCAAGGCCUUGCGCGGACGGAGCGGCCGAUGGCAGAUUAGGUAGUUGGUGGGAUAAAAGCUUACCAAGCCGACGAUCUGUAGCUGGUCUGAGAGGACGACCAGCCACACUGGGACUGAGACACGGCCCAGACUCCUACGGGAGGCAGCAGUGGGGAAUUUUGGACAAUGGGCGCAAGCCUGAUCCAGCCAUGCCGCGUGCAGGAUGAAGGCCUUCGGGUUGUAAACUGCUUUUGUACGGAACGAAAAGACUCUUUCUAAUAAAGAGGGUCCAUGACGGUACCGUAAGAAUAAGCACCGGCUAACUACGUG